GGGUGAUUCGUAUAGUGGUAUUACGCUGGAUUCCAAACCCAGUCACCGGAGUUCGAUUCUUCGAUUGCCCG
rnacentral:tRNA from 2 species